rnacentral:lncRNA from 1 species
AUUCAAGAACUGUCAUUCAACAAAAAAACUUAAACAGUCCGUCAAUAGAACAUUUUUAUCCUAGUAGAAAAUCGAUGUCUUCUGACGAAUUUGCAUUUAACUUUGCAAGGAAACCUGAUGUUAAUAAAAGUCCCCCUAAAAUGACAGAAGGACUCAACUAUUUACCAGAGGUAUCAACUUUUGAAAAAUUAGGUAUGUUCAGUCAACUGAUAUUGAGUGUAAGAGUCACCACGCAAAGGAGCAUUUCUAAUAACACGUGUAUUCCCCAAAAAAACAAAACAUAUCAAAUUAAAAUAAACUGAUCAGUUAAUUUUCCAGCUACUAACUAAUCAAAAAUAAAAAGUAAUCGCCAAAGUGUAUAACAAUUCCUAAAAAUACAGAAAGUGUUGCGUGCAUUUUUGAUGGUGUGGAUUGGGGUUUACAAAAUGAGGAAUAAUGGGCAAAAGAAAAACGAAUUAAGAAAAAUGGACCAGAAAAUUAAUUAUGAGGUGCCUAAUUAUAAAGAAUAUGGUGGAAGAGUUUAAAAAAAGAAAAAAAGCGCCGUUAGUGGUUUUGUUUGAAUUAUUUUACAUUUGGGAUUUCGGGGCCUUUAAUUGGUGACUAAGCUGUAUGAGUUUUGCUCAUUGUUGAAGGCCGUACGAUGACAUAUAACUUUGAAUUUCAGUGUUAUGCGGUCUCUUCUACAGAACAGUCUCAGUGACAAUCAUUCCACAUUUUUUUUUAUAUAUGAGAAAAUAUAGAAUACAGAAAUAAAGAACCCCUCAUUAAACCUCUUAUUUGUUAUUGCGAUUUUGUGAGAAUGGACAAUAAUUUCAGAAAAAUCUGUGUAAAUGUAUAAGAUAUCAGAAUGCGAGUUCUCAUCAUCAAAAUCUCACAGAGUCGUAUUAUUUGUAUUGUUUAAAAAAUCGCAAUAAUUUCUGAAUUUACUGUACAAGAAUUUGAUUAUGAAGUUGUUGUAUUGAAGACUUGAUGACUUCCCAGAACAUUAAUGGUUUACAGAAUACAGGUUCUUAAACAUGGGCUCCUCUUAUUAUUAAUACAUAAAAAGGAACUUUUCAGAAACGUCGGAUUUAAAAGAGUUUAAUUUACAAAGGGCUAUAGAAAUGCAAUCUAAAUAAAGGUCACACACACAUUAAAUUUCACAUUCUGAUUGUUUAUUAUCGCAAAAAGUAAAAUCACAAAAAUACUGAACUCCGAGGAAAAUUCAAUCCGAAAGUCCGUAAUCAAAUGGUAAAAUCAAAUGACAAAACACAUCAACCGAAUAGACAACAACUGUAAUAUUCCUGACUUGGUACAGGCAUUUUCAAAUUUAGAAAAUGGUGGAUUGAACCUGAUUUUAUAGCGCUAAACAUCUUACUUGUAUGACAGUCGCACCAAAUUCCGUUAUAUUUACAACGAUGCGUGAACAAAACACACAUAAUUAAUAAAAUAGUCACUAUGUGGGUACAGCAGUCUUCUCUGUGUUUUUAUCUCAAAACAAACAAUCAUUUACCAAAAAAAAAAAAAAAAACCGACACAAAAGCAUCUAUCAAAUUAAAAAAAAUGUUUUUUGUGAUUUGCUUUUUUUUUUUAUCAAAACAAUUAUAUUUCACCUUUGAAUAAUACAUUCACUUGUGUUUUCAAGCAAAUGUCCAUAUAUGUAAUGAUAUACAUUGUAUUUUGUAUAUAGAAUACAUAAAAAAUGGAUUCAUCGACUGCAUAAUCGACAAAAGAAUAUACACACUGCCUAACACAAC